UGCACCAGCUAGCGGGUUGAUGUUGGGUUCACCAGCCAAACCGCGUCCAUAUAAACGAGGCUCUCGCCUCGCCGCGCAGUUUCUAUUCGAUUCCAUGGCGAGCAGCGACUGCAGUGAGGCAGCAGCAGCGGCAGCCUCUCCAUCCACACUCCAAAAUCCAUCCAACGGUCACCAUUUCAUCUCCCUCCAAAACGACAACAAAGAAGAAGAAGAAGAGGAGGAGCAACGUCGACUGCUCGUACCGGAUCCGGUGCAUCUCCCUCUCUCUCCCCCCUCUGCUAUCGACUCCAACUUCGUCUCCUUCUUCGCUCCUGAUUUUCUUAAGCCCGGUCACGAUCAGUACGUCUAUCGCCAUGCCAAUGGGCUAUGCAUAAUUGGAUUGGCUCCAACACAUAUUGCCCUAGCCGAGAAAGGAGUUACAACUGUUGACUUCAAUGUAGGGAAGUCUGAUCGAAGCGACUACAAAGUCACAGGAAAGCGUAAAAAGAAUGCGCAGCACUUGGAACCCAACUCGGCUUUAUGUAAAGUGUGUGCAAAUGAAACUUUCUAUGUCGUGAGAUGCUGUGUAAAAGGCUCCCUACUAGAAGUGAAUGACAGACUUAUUAAGCAACCUGGGCUGCUCAACUCCUCUGCGGCUAGAGAAGGGUACAUUGCAAUUAUCAUGCCAAAACCAGCAGAUUGGCUUAAGAUCAAGAGUUCAUUGUUGAAGCAUGAAGAUUACAAAAAAUUAAGAGGCCUUUGCUGAAUUAUUUUAAGGACUCCAUUUUCAGUUCAGCGAGAGUGAUUCUGCUCAUUUCACAUUGUUGCGCUAUUCUUGGAGGUUGAACUUCUGGUUUUGGAACCUUGUUUGGAAGAGUCACGGGUGAUGAUGAUUGCUGGAAGUGGAUGGCGGCCAAAAUCUAUUCAGAUUCGAUGCUCUAAAACACAGGGUAUUAUCAUGCUGGUUUUACUUUGUUUGUAUGCCAAGAAGAU